rfam:Felis catus isolate Cinnamon breed Abyssinian chromosome F2, whole genome shotgun sequence.
GCCUGGGUGGCUCAGUCGGUGGAGCAUCUGACUUCAGCUCAGGUCAUGAUCUCAUGGUUCAUGGGUUUGAGCCCCACAUUGGGCU